rnacentral:tRNA from 1 species
GGAGGAUUGGCCGAGUGGAAAGGCACCGGCUUGCUAAGCCGUGGUCGGGGCUGAAAACCCCGCGCGCGUUCGAUCCGCGCAUCCUCCG